GUUUAGGGGCUUUGGUGGCCAAAGAGAGGGGAACAGCAGGGUCUUCCUACAUGCAACAGCAAUGUCUCACUGGUGUGGUGCAGCUCUACUGCAGGAGGCUGUUCUGAGUUUUCACCAAAUGUCUGGUUCGUUAGCCAAGCUCCCAGUGGCAAUUAUGAGAUUCCAGAGCAAGAUCAGCUUUUCUCUGCUGGUGCCCCUGCAGGAGCUAUCUUCUCAGACUACUUCUUGAAUUCUCUAUUGUCUGGGGUUUGAAAGACUGCAGCUUGAGUCCAGAUACCACAUGCCGAGAAGAAAGGAACCCAAACAGCUGACGCAGAGUUCAGACUAAACUAACUGCAAGCUCCCCAGGGACAUCACAAGGUAUGGUAUUUUUGAAACACAGCAAGCUGUUGUUGUUCCUCUGUGUGUUGGUAAAUAGUAGCUGCAGACUUUCACCUUGGGAGAGGCACAGGCUGAGCAAACAGUGAACUGCGGGCAUGGACCAGGCACAGAAUUCCAGAGUAGGGAUACGGGGAAGCUCUCCCGACACAGCUCAUUUCCUAAACCUACUGAUGUUCACCCUCAGCAGGUGCUUAAACAUCACUUCAUGCCUCUGGAAGCCCCCUUUGGAGCUGUUGCUUCUAUAGCUGUGAUUUCAAGGUAGGGACUCUGGAGGCCGUGGGGAAGCAGGACCUUUGAGGGGUGGCUUCCCAGCAGCUUUCCUC